CAGUAGCCGCGGGAAUACAGAGGGUGCAAGCGUUAAUCGGAAUUACUGGGCGUAAAGCGCGAGUAGGUGGUUUGUUAAGUUGGAUGUGAAAUCCCCGGGCUCAACCUGGGAACUGCAUCCAAAACUGGCAAGCUAGAGUAUGGUAGAGGGUGGUGGAAUUUCCUGUGUAGCGGUGAAAUGCGUAGAUAUAGGAAGGAACACCAGUGGCGAAGGCGACCACCUGGACUGAUACUGACACUGAGGUGCGAAAGCGUGGGGAGCAAACAGGAUUAGAUACCCGCGUAGUCCCUGUCUCUUAUAC
rnacentral:rRNA from 1 species